UGGGGAAUUUUGGACAAUGGGCGCAAGCCUGAUCCAGCCAUGCCGCGUGCAGGAUGAAGGCCCUCGGGUUGUAAACUGCUUUUGUACGGAACGAAAAGCCUCUUUCUAAUAAAGAGGGGUGAUGACGGUACCGUAAGAAUAAGCACCGGCUAACUACGUGCCAGCAGCCGCGGUAAUACGUAGGGUGCGAGCGUUAAUCGGAAUUACUGGGCGUAAAGCGUGCGCAGGCGGUCUUGCAAGACAGUGGUGAAAUCCCCGGGCUCAACCUGGGAACUGCCAUUGUGACUGCAAGGCUGGAGUACGGCAGAGNGGGAUGGCAUUCCGCGUGUAGCAGUGAAAUGCGUAGAUAUGCGGAGGAACACCGAUGGCGAAGGCAGUCCCCUGGGCCUGUACUGACGCUCAUGCACGAAAGCGUGGGGAGCAAACA
rnacentral:rRNA from 1 species